UACGGAGGGUGCAAGCGUUAUCCGGAUUCACUGGGUUUAAAGGGUGCGUAGGAGGGCAGGUAAGUCAGUGGUGAAAUCCUAGAGCUUAACUCUAGAACUGCCAUUGAUACUAUCUGUCUUGAAUAUUGUGGAGGUAAGCGGAAUAUGUCAUGUAGCGGUGAAAUGCUUAGAUAUGACAUAGAACACCUAUUGCGAAGGCAGCUUACUACGCAUAUAUUGACGCUGAGGCACGAAAGCGUGGGGAUCAAACAGG
rnacentral:rRNA from 1 species